GUCUAUGGCCAUGCCACCCUGAACAUCCUGAUUUUGUCUGAUCUUGGAAGCUAAGCAGGGUCGGGCCUGGCUAGUACCUGGAUGGGAGACUACCUAGGAAUACCAGGUGCUGUAGGCG
rnacentral:rRNA from 1 species